rnacentral:rRNA from 1 species
GACGAACGCUGGCGGCGUGCUUAACACAUGCAAGUCGAACGGAAAGGCCCUGCUUUUGUGGGGUGCGCGAGUGGCGAACGGGUGAGUAACACGUGAGUAACCUGCCCUUGACUUUGGGAUAACUUCAGGAAACUGGGGCUCAUACCGGAUAGGAGCUCCUGCCGCAUGGUGGGGGUUGGAAAGUUUCGGCGGUUGGGGAUGGACUCGCGGCUUAUCAGCUUGUUGGCGGGGUAGUGGCUUACCAAGGCUUGGACGGGUAGCCGGCCUGGGAGGGUGACCGGCCACAUUGGGACUGGGAUACGGCCCAGACUCCUACUGGAGGCAGCAGUGGGAAAUAGUGCACAAUGGGCGGGGGCCUGAUGCAGCAACGCCGCGUGCGGGAUGACGGCCUUCGGGUUGUAAACCGCUUUCGCCUGUGACGAAGAGUGAGUGACGGUAAUGGGUAAAGAAGCACCGGCUAACUACGUG